rnacentral:rRNA from 1 species
CCUACGGGAGGCAGCAGUGGGGGAUAUUGCACAAUGGGGGGAACCCUGAUGCAGCGACGCCGCGUGGGUGAAGAAGCGCCUCGGCGCGUAAAGCCCUGUCAGCAGGGAAGAAAAUGACGGUACCUGACGAAGAAGCCCCGGCUAACUACGUGCCAGCAGCCGCGGUAAUACGUAGGGGGCAAGCGUUAUCCGGAUUUACUGGGCGUAAAGGGGGCGCAGACGGCGAUGCAAGCCAGAAGUGAAAGCCCGGGGCCCAACCCCGGGACUGCUCUUGGAACUGCUAGGCUGGAGUGCAGGAGGGGCAGGUGGAAUUCCUGGUGUAGCGGUGAAAUGCGUAGAUAUCAAGAGGAACACCGGUGGCGAAGGCGACCUGCUAGACUGCAACUGACGUUGAGGCCCGAAAGCGUGGGGAGCAAACAGGAUUAGAUACCCGUGUAGUC